UUGCCGCAGGCAACGACCCGUAGGGCGAAGCGCGCAGCGCUGAGUAAUCCUUCCCCACCACCA
rnacentral:sRNA from 1 species